rnacentral:rRNA from 1 species
UAGGGAAUCUUCCACAAUGGACGCAAGUCUGAUGGAGCAACGCCGCGUGAGUGAAGAAGGCUUUCGGGUCGUAAAACUCUGUUGUUGGAGAAGAAUGGUCGGCAGAGUAACUGUUGUCGGCGUGACGGUAUCCAACCAGAAAGCCACGGCUAACUACGUGCCAGCAGCCGCGGUAAUACGUAGGUGGCAAGCGUUAUCCGGAUUUAUUGGGCGUAAAGCGAGCGCAGGCGGUUUUUUAAGUCUGAUGUGAAAGCCCUCGGCUUAACCGAGGAAGUGCAUCGGAACUGGAAAACUUGAGUGCAGA